CUCCUAUCAAUUUCCCCCACACUUAGCUUUUGCUAGUCCUCGAGCAAAAUAAAACAAACAAAACAUAACCUAACCUUCCAACAUUUGCUACAGGGAUUUCCAACGAUACAUAACAUGCCAAAGAUCAUUAUUCCCACAGAUUUUAGUCAUCCCUACUCUUGAGCAUAUACUUAAUCAUAGUUACCAUUCACUAGCUCACAUUUAAUCGUUUAAAACAACAUUAUGGACGUAGUAACAUGCCUUAGAGAAUCCACUCAAUUCCUUACUGGAUACACUCUUAUUUUCACACAGAUUUUCUAACUACACUCCCUAUACUAAGUAUAUGUGAGAAGAUUGAUGUAAACAUGGAAACGAACACUCACACAUGUUAUAAAAGAAGCACUUUUCUAGAAUGAUUAAGCAUUUAUAGAUAUGAUCUCAUGAAUGGAACGCUACUACUUAGAUGCGAGAACCAGGGACACCAUAUGCUCAAACCAAUCCCAAACUCCACAUAUUGAAAUACAUAACACUCAAGAUAGAAGUUAAGGAUUGUAACGGGGCUAAGGGGUAUUGGCUAACAAAGAAAGGUUAAGGAUAAACAAAAGUUCUUAAAGCGAUAGAAAACAAGUAAUGAAUUUGACACUUAGAAUUCACUUUUGCGUGCAGAAAAUCACUUAGACACACAAAGGGGUGAAAUACACAAUAUUUAGGGUCUAAUUUAACUUUUUGGACCCUUUCUUCAACAACCAACACUUGUGAGUUCUUUCUUAUUUUGACCUCUUUGCCAUAAUUUUUUAUUUUUUUUUUUUUCCGUACCCAAUUCUUGCUUUUGGCACAAAUUCCCACACAUAAAUUCCUUCCCCCACACUUGUUUUUCUGCACAAGAAUAAUCAAAAGGAAUUCAUUCUAAGUCAUGUUCACUAUGCUUUAAGAACAAAGGCAUGGAUGGUCCUAUUCUAGGCUAGGUAAGGAUAACGUGGGUUAACAAAGAACAUAGGCUAAACAAGGCUCAACAGGGCUUAAACCUACAAAACAAAUGAACAUGGGGUGCGGCUAUUUGGUUCUUGGUUUACUAACAACUUCAUCUUGUUAUGUGUUAUGCGAAUCAAUUUUAUGCUUUGAAUGAAACGGGCAUGAGUUCUAGUAUUUGGAACUAAAUGAUGAAACGCCUUCUAAGUAGUAACCAAGCAAAGAAUAAUGAGAUCAUGCAACGACUUUAGAAGACAACAAAUGCACAGAUUAUUAACUCUCCAAAGAACGUUAAAAGCUCAAGUCUCUCAGGGUUGUAGCGUUAGUUUGAGUUUCUUCCUUCAAGCAUGUUACAAAAAC
rnacentral:lncRNA from 1 species